GUGGGGAAUUUUGGACAAUGGGCGCAAGCCUGAUCCAGCAAUGCCGCGUGCAGGAAGAAGGCCUUCGGGUUGUAAACUGCUUUUGUACGGAACGAAACGGUCCUGGCUAAUAUCCGGGGCUAAUGACGGUACCGUAAGAAUAAGCACCGGCUAACUACGUGCCAGCAGCCGCGGUAAUACGUAGGGUGCGAGCGUUAAUCGGAAUUACUGGGCGUAAAGCGUGCGCAGGCGGUGCUGUAAGACAGGCGUGAAAUCCCCGGGCUCAACCUGGGAAUUGCGCUUGUGACUGCAAGGCUGGAGUGCGGGAGAGGGGGAUGGAAUUCCGCGUGUAGCAGUGAAAUGCGUAGAUAUGCGGAGGAACACCGAUGGCGAAGGCAAUCCCCUGGGCCUGCACUGACGCUCAUGCACGAAAGCGUGGGGAGCAAACAGGAUUAGAUACCCUUGUAGUCC
rnacentral:rRNA from 1 species